rnacentral:rRNA from 1 species
GACAGAGGGUGCAAACGUUGUUCGGAAUUACUGGGCGUAAAGCGCGUGUAGGCGGCUAAGUAAGUCGGGCGUGAAAUCCCACGGCUCAACCGUGGAAGUGCACUCGAAACUGCAUAGCUAGAGUCCUGGAGAGGAAGGUGGAAUGCUUGGUGUAGAGGUGAAAUUCGUAGAUAUCAAGCGGAACACCGGUGGCGAAGGCGGCCUUCUGGACAGUGACGUGACGCUGAGACGCGAAAGCGUGGGGAGCAAACAGG